rnacentral:rRNA from 1 species
GACGAACGCUGGCGGCGUGCUUAACACAUGCAAGUCGUACGGUAAGGCCCUUUCUGGGGUUCACGAGUGGCGAACGGGUGAGUAACACGUGAGUAACCUGCCCACAACUUUGGGAUAACGCUAGGAAACUGGUGCUAAUUCUGGAUAUGUUCUCCUGCUGCAUGGUGGGGGUUGGAAAGCUCCGGCGGUUGUGGAUGGACUGGCGGCCUAUCAGCUUGUUGGUGGGGUAGUGGCCUACCAAGGCGGCGACGGGUAGCCGGCCUGAGAGGGUGACCGGCCACAUUGGGACUGAGAGAAGGCCCAGACUCGUAAGGGAGGAAGAAGUGGGGAAGAUUGCACAAGGGGCGCAAGCCUGAUGCAGCAGCGCCGCGGGCGGGAUGACGGCCUUCGGGUUGUAAACCGCUUUCAGCAGGGACGAAGCUUUUUGUGACGGUACCUGCAGAAGAAGCACCGGCUAACUACGUG